rnacentral:rRNA from 1 species
AAAGCCUGGGCAACUGGGCGAGUAGAGUGGCGCACGGGGAGUAACACGUGGGUAACCUACCUUCGAGUGGGGAAUAACUCCUCGAAAGGGGAGCUAAUACCGCAUAAGACCACGACUUCCGCGGAAGUUGCGAUCAAAGGUGGCCUCAUCGCGCAGAGUGUUUGGGACCAUGUUCCCGAUCGGGAAGAUAGUCCUCAGCGCUUUGCCCAGUGAAGCUGCCGCUCGAAGAGGGGCCCGCGGCCCAUCAGCUAGUUGGUAGGGUGACGGCCUACCAAGGCGACGACGGGUAGCUGGCCUAAGAGGACGACCAGCCACACGGGAAUUGAGAUACGGUCCCGACUCCUACGGGAGGCAGCAGUGGGGAAUCUUGGGCAAUGGGGGAAACCCUGACCCAGCGACGCCGUGUGGGGGAUGAAGGCCUUCGGGUUGUAAACCCCUGUUAGGUGGGACGAACAUCUCCCUACGAAUAGUGGGGGGAUCUGACGGUACCACCAGAGAAAGCCCCGGCUAACUCCGUGCCAGCAGCCGCGGUAAUACGGAGGGGGCUAGUGUUGUUCGGAAUUACUGGGCGUAAAGGGCGCGCAGGCGGCUUGGCAAGUCGAGUGUGAAAUCCCUUGGCUUAACUGAGGAAUGGCGCUCGAAACUACCUCGCUGGAGGGCGGGAGAGGGAAGUGGAACUCUCGGUGUAGGGGUGAAAUCUGUAGAUAUCGAGAGGAACACCGGUGGCGAAGGCGGCUUCCUGGCCCGUACCUGACGCUGAGGCGCGAAAGCGUGGGGAGCAAACAGGAUUAGAUACCCUGGUAG